AGCAGAUGCACACGGUGACUACUUUCCUCCCACGUCAUCGCAUCUUGCUGUUCCCCUCUGGAGGUUUUGACCUUCAAACUUAAAAGGGCCCGGGUUUUCCCGUGGCCCUCUUUU
rnacentral:sRNA from 1 species